rnacentral:rRNA from 1 species
CGUAGGUGGCAAGCGUUGUCCGGAAUUAUUGGGCGUAAAGGGCGCGUAGGCGGUACCUUAAGUCAGAUGUGAAAACCCGAGGCUUAACUUCGGAGGUGCAUUUGAAACUGGGGAACUAGAGUGCAGGAGAGGUAAGUGGAAUUCCUAGUGUAGCGGUGAAAUGCGUAGAUAUUAGGAGGAACACCAGUGGCGAAGGCGACUUACUGGACUGUAACUGACGCUGAGGCGCGAAAGCGUGGGGAGCAAACAGGAUUAGAUACCCUGGUAGUCCACGCUGUAAACGAUGGAUACUAGGUGUGGGAGGUAUCGACCCCUUCCGUGCCGCAGUAAACGCAAUAAGUAUCCCGCCUGGGGAGUACGGCCGCAAGGUUAG